AUUGAGCUUAUAUAUCCUUUCUGUAUAUAUGAAAAAGAAUCUCUAGUAUAAUGUGUAGGUUAUAGGCUCAGGAUUUUUCUUAAUGAAGAGUAACUCCUUUUGCUUUUCAGAGAGAAGGAGCUAUUUCAGAGUAUCACAGAACUGCUAUCUCUUUAGGAACAUGCCAAUCUCCACAAGGCAAACAACAAUCUUGCAAGGCCAAAAGCUCAUGAAUAAUGUUCUGAUUGCUUACAGUGAAUGCCCCAGAAUUUGCCAAUUUAAGACUCAAUCCUCUGAGGGUGUGCCUUCUUGGGUUUCUUUCUGGCAUUGGAGACAACAUUAUUUUAUUAGAUUCUUGGAGGUGGACAUUGUCGUCACCAGAAAAAGCACAACAAACACACUUUGUAUUCCAGAGUUGUCUUGCUUAAGUCAACAUGCAUCUGAGGUUUUAUGUUACAAAUCCCAUUAAAUCUUUCUCAAAAUAGCCCUUCUCUGAACCUUUGAUUGAAGGAUAUUUGCAGAAACCAAAGCCAUUUAAUUUUAUUCACAAGUGUAUAUACAUACUUUAUGUUAGAAAGGAUCUUGAUACAGUGGGGCGUUUUUAAAGUGAAUUAUUAUAAGGCAAAAUUCUUCCAGAUUAUAAACUCUUGUCUUACGGAAAAGAUGUAGAGAUCUUCAGGUAGCUGGAUGAAGAUGGAGUGGAUGGAGUGAAUCUUAUAAAGUUAGGAUUUACACUGAGAGUUUGCUAGACUGCAGCCUGGUUUUGCCUAGAUACUCAGACUUGCCCAAGGCCUAGCCUGAUGCCGUGUAAGUGCCGUAUCUGUGCCACCAUAGAUGGAGUGGCAGGACUGGGGCAUGGGGCUGAUGAGCUUGGUUUCUUCUUGGGAGCCUUUGAACUAGGUGAGACUGAGAAUCUUGAAAUUCAAGGAAAACUAGGAUAUUACUUUCCAUUUGUAGGUCGAGAACUAGUCCUUUUUUAUUGACUACUAUUUGCAUAUCAGUAAUCCUUUUAUUCUUCCAUUUUCUAUUACUGCUAUUUCAAGAGAUCCUUACAUCUGAAGAUAACUGGUACCAGAAAACCACUACUUUAAGAGAAUCGACUUAAAACUGAAUCAGACAUUUAAAACAAACAGUAAAACUUUUUAAAAAGAUUUUAUUGGGACUAAGUCUUAAAAAGUUAAAAAGGAAAGUUGAAUCUAAGUUUGUAUUACGUUAUGUAACAGAAAUUUGGGAUAUGAUGCAGCACUAUGUUGUCUCUUAGAACAAAGAUUGAAGGUUGGCUUCUGUGGCAGAAUCAUAAAGUGGGUGAUCUUUGUACAAGCGUCAAAUUCUCCCAAGGGCCUCUCUUAAUCUUCUGAUACACAAACCAUUCUCUUGAAGAGUCUGCCUCUCAUGUAAUCAUCUCUGUUGACUUUUUCUUCCUUAGUUGUCACCCAUUCAGCUCUUUGAUCCAUAUUUGUCAGUGACUGCGUGUGACUGAAGCAGUUCUCCAGUGUCGUUUUUAUCAACUUUAUGUAAAACCUGCAGGUUCACGUUACAAGUGAACCACAUUGUAUUUGCAUUCUUACUCUGUGAUACUAACCAACCAAGAAAGUAAGCAGGAACAGAUGCUGAUGUUCAUGAGGACUAAACGCUAAGUGAUCGCUUUGUCAGUGUUUUUAUAUUAUGACGACCUGUUGUUCCUUAUGCCUCCUGGUAGCUACAGGGACUCAAAGAUCGAUUGCUAAAGUAGUUAGGGACACCCCCGCCCCCCAUAUUAUGUUACCUUCAGAGCACUCAGUAGGGCUUAGUGGGCUUUGCAAUCAACCACAUGUAGACUUGUAUGUCAUUCCUGGCACUUAACUAGGUUAUAUAACCUCGGGUGAGUUAUUCACAGAACUUCAGAUUCUUAAUUUGUGAUGGGGAGUAAUGAAAGCAACCUUGCCGAGUGGUCAUGGGGAUUAGAGCCCAUGUAUGUAAAACUCCUGAGGAGUACAUAGUGCGUGCAGAUCAAGAAAUGAUCCCUAUUAGGGUUGCUGUUCUGUUUAUGUGGUGCCUUACGUUUUAUAUGAGUCUUUCAGAUUUAAUUCAGGUGGAAGAACUUAAAUUUUGGCCAAGUCACUGAAGAUUUUUAAGGUGUGCAGUGACUUGAGCUAAAUUUCAGAAGAUUCUAUUUGGUGACUGGUAUGUCCUGGAUUAGACCGUAUAAUUUGAUAGCCAUUUUCUUCAGGCCAUGGAUGAGAACACUGAGGCCCAAGGAAAUCACGUAACUUUAUGAGGAUCACGUGGUUUAUAUCUGGCAGAGCCAAAGCCAGAACCCAAUCUUCCUUCUCUUUACUGUAUUUUCCCACCACAUAGUCGCUCAUUGGCAAGUGAAACAAUUAAAAAGGCCAUCAUAACUUGUUCAGGAACAAAGUGAUAAAGAUCUGACAUGCUGAAUGAAAGUGGGAACGGGAGGGAGUGGACAAAGGCAGCAGUCACUGAAAACAAGGGCAGAUUAGAUUUGGCCACUGAUUGGCUCAGCUCUGCUCCUCACGAAGGGAAGCAAGGGUCUAAACUUUAAAGCCUGGUCAGAUGACCAUACAGUUAAUUAAACUAAAAUAAGUAAAGUUUGUUGGUUUUGUUGUUUCCUGAUGAAUUUAAAGGGACCGCCUUGUCCACAAGGAAAUAUGUAGGAUUAAAGGUAGAAGACGAUGCCAGUGCAAAAGAAAGAAAUUUGAGACUCUAAUGCCAAAGGAGGAGCAUUGAAACCACUGUACGGUCUAUAAGUCUGUGCACCUCUGUGUGUGUGUGUGUGUGUGUGUUAAACUGGACUCUGUGGCAUAUUCCCAAUUCAAGACUGAGCCACAUUGUGAUAUUAUAUAACUUACUGCCCAGUUAUAAUCACAAACUGUCACACCUUCUUCAGAAAGAAGAGCGGUUCCCAUAGAUUCUUCUGUGUUUGUGUGUUUGUUUUGUUGGAUGGAUCCUGCUGUGGCACUGAGAGACAGACUUUGCUGGGCCCUGCUUUGUAAACAAAUCUGCUCGUGCACACUUUCUUCUAUCAUUGUAUGUGUACACUGGCUCUGCUUUUCCCACCAGACACAAGGAAGCCUAGGAAUUUAGAAGCUUGUUUUCUUUUAGAAGUAUGCAGGCAUCAACGAAAAAUGUGCACAUGCAUUUAAAAUGUGCACAUCCUACCCUAGGUAAGGUUGUGAAUUUUCACAGUUUUAACUCCAGGCCAUGAACUCUGCAAAUACAUUGCAGCCCAAUACACACACAUUUCCCUUGGGAGGCAUCCUGAGAGCCACCACGAAAUAUUGAUUGAGCUCAGUGAAUAAGGAAAGCUCUUUUUACCCUUAAAGUUCAUUCUAUGGCCCAUAAGUGGGACUAGUCACCCAAAAUGAUAUAGCAUAAAACUGCUUUUUCCAAGAAGGGAAGAUUCGUCCCUUUCUUAGAUUAGAAUGUGAACUUAUAAUAAUAUAUAUCCAUAUAACCACUUCCUACCUAUAAUUUUUCGAGUGUUUAAUAUUCCAACCAAGUUCACGUUUUUAUGACAGGAAGUAUGUGAAUGAUUAUGACGGGAGUAAAUAACAUUUGAUUUUAUGAUUACAGUACGGGAAGUAACUUUUCACGCCAAAUAAAUCUUGGGGGGGAAAAAAGUGCCGGCUUAUAAAUUUAACGUACAUAAAUUUCCCAGAAUCUUUGCUGUCUUAAGUGGAAAUAAAACCAGAAUGUGGCCUUGUUUCUUUCUCUUAACUUUUCUUGUCAACAAAUGUCUUUGUUUUAGGAAGAGGCAUUUUCAGGUAUUUUGGCGUGACCCAACAUGAUAUGGAACCAUCAAAAAAAUUUUGAGUGAAAAUAAUAAGGCCAAACUUUGUAAAUAGCAUGAAAAGCUUGAAGACCCUAAGUAGGAAGUUACCUUUUCCUCGAAAAGUAAAUGGCCAAGUCAUCAUCCACCGUCGAGCCAAAGAGUUCCCCCCAUUUCCAGUUACGCUUGUAGCCAAGUUCAGUCAGUAUGUGGGAGAGACAGUUUGUUAGACGUCAAAGAGUCUGCCUAUGAGCAAGUUUAAAGAGAAAAGAAAGAAUUGGGUGGAACUUCAGUUACGUUCAUCAUAGGCAGAACUUUAAUAGAGGCUUCAUUUUUCCCUGACUUUAAAAAAUAAGGUGAAGAAAGGAUUUCUUUCCUCAUCUUUCUCUUUUCUUCUUAAAGCAUGAGGAGCUUGUAGUGAGAAGAGAAUUUAUAACUGACGCUCAUUUCGGAGGAAAUAUUACAUGUCCAUGCAUCACGUGAAUGAAUGGACGCCUGACGUUCAGGUUGACAUACCCGGGAAGGGUGUCACAGUUCAGGUGCACUUAUAGACCCCGUGGGGCUGUGACGCAGUGGGUGGCACAGUGUUGCUCUGGGGCAUACAGGAUGGAGGUUCAAACUUUAACUCUGAGACUGUGAGCCUCACGUAACCACACGGAUUGAAAACACGAUCAUCUCUAAACCCUUUCUCCCUCUGAAACUCAGCAUCGCAGAUUACGCAAAGAAGUAGUCUGCAAAUUAUACAAAGCUGUUCUCAGAGAACAAACUAAUGUGUUAGAAUUACUGAUACUUAGUUGUCAUUAAUUUUUUGAAAUUCUGCAGAGAAUACAUUUGCAUGUGGCAUGAUUAAAAUUCUGCCUUGUGUUGUAGUUUUCAAGGAAGUUUCAUAAGUGCUGUUUUAGACUGGAGGAUGUGCCGGUGGAAAGCUCUGGAACAGAGUGGUCAAGAUCAAGCUCCCCGGCUUUGGGUCCUGACUCCACCACCUACUGAUGGUGUGAUCCUGGUCAAGUCCUUCAACUCCCUGGGCCUCAGUUUACUUAUCUGUAGGAUGGGGAUAAUAACAGGACUUAGUUUGUAGGGUUAUCAUGAGGAUUAAAUGUGUAGAUAGGUAUGUGUUGGGCUAUUGAUAGCACCCAGACCAACCGUGUACAUGAGUAUGCUGUUAUCACUGGUGAUUAAACUGGCUUAAGGAGGUUGCGUGAUCUGAACCAGAGCAAAGUAGAGCCAAAGGAAGAGCUGGAACUCGAACACAAGGCCUUCUGACUUCCCGUGCUCUGGUGUCCCUUCCCGUCUGAGGCCACUCCCUCUCUUUUCUGUAAAAGUGCCACUAAAGAGUGCACUUUUUUUCAUUGUUUAAAAAGAAACUUUGCGUAAACGUUAAACAUGAAGAAUAUUUGUCGCAGGGUUUUAUUUUGUUGGGGGCAGAGAACAGUGGGCCCAGAGAUCUGGAGAGCAAAUACUGAUUCUGUAAAUUUUCCAUAUAUUCUUCAUGUUUGUCUUGAGUGUUCAAAAAUGAGAAAUAGAGCAGUUGGGGUGUACAUCGCAAAGUGUCACCAGGUUAGAAACUAAGGGCUUCGCGGUGCUGGGUAACAAAUACGUGGAUGCACUUGGUUUAUUUGUUUUUAUUCUUCAGUUCUCAUUAAGUGGAAGCCAGGAGUGUGCUCCUCCCACCUUCGUGAGCUCCCUCUCCCCACCCUUCCCGCCCAAGAUAGAAGCACAUGAACAGCCUGAAAAUAAAGCACAGGCUUUUUUUAAGCUCCUCUCUAAGCAAAAUAUCUACUAGUCCCUUCAGAAAAUGAGUUCCAUCCCCACUGGUACUCCUUAAGGUGGGAUAAAAGCAAUUUUUCUUGCUCCAUUUGUUCAGUUGUCAUGAAAUUCUACUCUUCUCUGGUAUAAAUGAUCAGAUUUGGCUAAAGCCAAGAGAAAUACAAAAGGUCAUAUUUCAGCCCCUCGUGGCCAGUUUUCAAAGGGCGCUUUGGUGUGAAAGCCACGUGGCCACUGUGUUAAUGUGACGGCGUCUUAUAAAUAAAUGUUUUUCUGGCCCUGUCUCAGACAAAUCUGAAAAAGUUCUUUCUUUUCCAAACCCCAGGGAUGGCACUCAGAGGCUGUGUCUUCAGUGUCUCAGUGCCCCGUAGAGAAGAUGAUUUCCAUAUUUGAAAUUUGGGGACAAAUGAAAAUAACUCCCAUUCUUUCUUGGAAGGGUUAAUGCUCUAACCAGCCUCAGAUUGGUUCACUUGUAUCUUAAAAUUACUUUUCUGGUCACGCACACUGAAGGUCCAAGCAUUUGUGAAAUGUCUUUUUUUCCUUUCUCCUGAUGCUGUUCCCUGUUGGCUCUCUUAAUUACACAGGGGUUGAGAAACCAAAUUAAAAUUAGGCGUGGCUGGUAAACAGUGAUCACGUUGCAUGCUUUUCGCUUUGCUUGUUGGAUUUCCUUCUCCUCCCUGUGCUGUUUGCCUCCCCACUUUUCCUUUCAAAGGAAAUAUCAUAAGCUCUUUUAGAAAUACUCACAGGAAGUGAGUAUCCGUAUGCUGGUUGCUCGCCAGCAACCAAGCAUUGACAGGUGGAGAAUGUGGCUGCAGCCUUCGCAGAUUUAUUUGAACAUUUCCACCCGAGCAGAGGAUUAAAUUCAGGGUGUACAGACCAAAGGGUUUUUGUAUACUGAGGGAGUUCUAAGGGGAAAUUGGUCAUCGAGUGUCAUCUUGAGGGACAGUGAUUCAGGGAACCGUAAUAGGGGUCAGCAAGGCACGUGGCUGCCGUCCCUGAGGUUUCUGCUCACUUCUCAGAGGGCAGGCUCCCUUCUAAAAAUUAAUGCUCCCUCCACCGCCAACAACGAUUCUUUUGCAGUGAAUCACUUCCAGAAAUGAAUAGCCACAGUUUUUUGGAAUGAACGUUGUGAAACCCCUCGUUUAUAAUGGCAGGUUUUCAGUUGGUGGUUUUAUCAGAGACAAUUUCUCAAGAUCAAAACGAAACCUCCUCUUUAAAAAGAAAGAAAGUACUCUCGAUACAGAAAGCAAAAGUAUUUCCAGUCUCCUACUGAAGAACUGUCCCGGAAGGUCUCGGUACCUAUAUUUAGAGACGCAUGUCCAUCUAUUUGCCGGAAUGUGUGAGUUCUUGGAAUUGUGGAUUCAUUGCCGGUGGCUGGUGAUUUCCUAUGCCGAAGGUCGCUGAGUCGAAGCAGUGUUGUAUGUGGAAUUGGGAAAACAACGUAGUGUGGUUUUCAUUGUUAGUCCUGGAGGAUUCCAAAAUCUGUGUCUGCAAAUAAGAUGAGCUGGAGCGACGUGCUGUGCCACUUGCUGUUUCUACUUGCCUGUUCUCCUAAUCGAAGUGAACCCCUUGCUUCCAGGACAAGCCCAGCCCGUGCUCGGGGACCCUCGUGUGACUGUUCCGUGCCCAUCUCUCAGAAGACUCCAAGCUCAGCUCCUCUGCCUGGGAUGGCAUCUCUGCACAUGCCCUUCUCUCUCCCUCGUCUGUCUACCUGCCAACACCUGCUCCUCCCUAAGAUUCAUCUCAGGUAUGGCCUCCUCCGGGAAACCCUCUGCAUUAUAUUAGAUAAUGCAGUAUAACAGGGGAGGGAAGGAGGGAGGAAAUAGGAGGGAACUUGACACGCCGCAUUAUAACCAGACAUUUUCCAUCCUCUCCGACAAGACAGAAGCUACUGGAGAGUGGAGGCCUGUAUCUCUGCAUCACAGCGUCUGGCAUAGAACUGUUGCUCACUAAUUUUUCAGAGGAAUAAAGGGACGGAGAAUAAAAGCAGCAAAGACCCACAUCACCAAGUGUUCCUCCUAGGGGUGAUGGAGCUCAGGCAAGAGCCCGGUUAAGCUCCAGGGCCCUUGAGUAAAGAUGCUGCAUGUCAGUACAGACACUGGGCAACUCUAUCACCCCAAUAACAACACUUACUCCCCUCGCCUUUGUGCUGUUCCCUGUCUCCAGUCAGCCCAUCCUACUGCCGAAUUAAUCUUUUUCAAGCAUGUGUCGAUCACUUCCUUACUCAAAACUCUUCAGUAGAAGGGCCCCCCACCUUCUUUAGCCUGGCCGUCCAGGACUUCCACAGCUUGACCCCAACCCGCCUCUAUUUCACACCACUUACAGGUGCCGUGAGUACCAUCCGUGUUCUAGGACUCCAAAAGUAUUUGCUGGUGGAUUUCAUUACUUAUUUGACAGGCAGUGUGGAAAAGCGCAUCCUAACAUUUCAGCUAAGACGUGUGUUACUGAACAUCUGUGGGUAUAAGGCGCUGUGCUGGUCACUGAACCAUCAGAGAGGCAGGUGGCGGCCUGUGCCGGCCGGGAGCUGACAGUCAGCUGAGGAGCAGACGAGAAAAUGCACGCGGCGUGAAUGGCAGAAACGAACGUGUCACAAGGCGGCAUGUGAUUGAUUCCAAAUAAAUGGCUCAGGACUGUGGUGUUGGUUAAACAAGAUAACGUGUGUGAAAGAACCUCUACCCUAUAAAACCCUAUAAGGCCUGUGAAAGUCCCCUUGCAGGCUGCCUUGCAGUCUGCCUCUCUCUCAUGCACAGAACUCUUGUUACACUUCACAAGUCGUAGGUACUCACCAGUCUUGCAAAGCCCUGGUCCACCUCCCCAGCCUCCUAUGCCCCUACCCUCGAACCCCAAGCUGCAGAGAUGCUGAAGAGAAGGCCCCGUGUUUUUUAUUUGGUACAAUGUCCCCAGAAACAUUCUUUCCUGCCCAUCUCCCUUCUUUGUCUAACCUAGUCUUCCUUUCAAACUCUGCUCUUCCUUUAGAAUUCAGCCUAGAGUCCUCCAGAAAGCCGUGUCUGACAUUUCAGAGCCGCCACUCCCUCCUCACUCCUCACAGGUGCCGCCGCCUCUGGGGGACGUGCGCCUCUGCCACAGGGACCGUGUCUUUCUGCUCUUCACUGCCAGCACCUGACACAGUAUGUGACAUGGAGUACCUGUCCCUUAAGUGUCGUUGAUUGAAAGAACUGAACGUAUUACAGGGACUCAGUACACAUCCAUUGAUUUGUUGAGACGUAGAUGCUGUGAGUGCAGAGGAGGGUGACGUGCCGGAGCAGUCCAGGGAGGCUCCGCGGAGCAGGUGGGAAAUACUAAGCUGAACAUUCAAGGUUUCGCACGUUGAAAACGGGCAAAGAACAAAAAUACCCGAGGUGGAGGAGCUCAGUGUGUGCGACUGCUGGCAACUCCACCGCUCUGUCCACACGGCCCGGAGGCAGGGAGCCCUGGAGCCGGGGUGGAGGCGGCCUGCUAGUUGGAGCAGAGGGUUUAUUGAAAGGAGGUAGAGAGAAGGCCCUGAGGGUGGGUUGGAUUUAAGUGGUGGGAAGGCCUCAAAGGCACGUGGGUUCUUGCAGGCGGUGAGUGUCAUUAUUUUUGAAAGCUAGUGACUUGCUCAAAGUGGUGUUGAAAGUGGGAGCUGCCUUGUGGCCCUGCCUUCAUCUUCCAUCCCGGCUUUGAGGCUCCUCUGGUGACCCCAGAUGUGAAGCCCCCUCCUAUCAAAUGCCUCACCUUUAAGGGCUGGAUCUUUUGUAAAUAAAGGCUUUCCUUCUGGCGCUGCCCUUGACCUGGCUCUGAGCUGUUGGUCCUUUGGGCCCAUUCAGCUCUGUCCCAUCCCUCUCCCCUCGUGACUGGUAAUGACCCGGAAGGUGGCAGCACCCACGCAGCAGGUGGCCUCAGAGCUGAGUCACCGCCCUGGGAACUGUGCCCUGGUGAGGCCGGCUCAGGCAAACUGGGGAACUCUCCACCUCACCCCGGCUCUGUGAGGCCUCUCAGUGCAACAGCCAGAGCAAAGGAAAAUGGAUUCUUUUAUGCAUCGAGCUGAUGAGAAAGUGAAAUAAAGCUAAUUGAAGAACCUAAAGGAAGUUAUCCUAAUGGCAGUCUCUAGCUGGUGUCUUUGGCAAGCACAGAGUUUUUCCUCACAAUUAUAGUUAUGGCCAUGAUUGUUUUAUCUAAACACAUGAAAAUCAUCCCUUUACACUUAUCUUUAAAAAAUGGGACGAAGAAGAUUUUAAAAUGAUGGUUUACGAUUCUGUAUGACCUUAUGAAUUCAGAGAGCCUAAGAAAUAAAAUGAUGUGGAGAGAUAUCUAAGCUGUCAAUGUUCUAGGAAAUGUGCAAAUGAGGUUUAGGGUUUUUUUUUUAAGUGUUUUAUUAUUCAUAAAUACUCUGAGGGAGGUUGUUUUUAAAAAUUAUGAUGCUUUUAUUUCAUUCCCAGAGAAGAUAAAAAUGUAGUGUUGCUUCUGAAAGAGGGUUUUAGAAAAAAAGGUCUGGCUUGUUUACUACACCAAUGAAUAGAGAUGACCUCAGUCCGAAAAAACAAGUUAACCAUAAUAUCGCUCCUUUGCCUGGCAAAAUAAGCCUUUAUCACAUAGCAAAAGAAGUGCAAGUCUGACCACCUAGUCAUCAUUUCAGCUGAUCAGGAUUUUCCAAAAGACAAAACAAAAAGCUCUCUCCAUUUUCACAACUGAACAAUAGCUCUUAGGAAAUACUACCAGCUUGCUCAGUUCCUAUAAGGCUGUAAAAAAAGUCUGGUGACAAUUACUCACUCAGUCGCCUGAAUGCAAUGCUGUACGUGGUUAACUCUGCUGUCGCCACUGUGAGCUUUCGAAGUUGGAAAAAAGGGGUCAUGUCUGUUGCUUUUUGAGUAUGGAGUUUUUUGACUUAAAAAGAAAUUUAAUCUUUUUUGCUUUAUACAUCCUGUGCCCAGUAAGCUCUGUACAGCUGAAGGGUCCCUACAGAUGGAAGCCUGUUCUCUUGAGCAGAUUUUCCUGAGCUCUGGGUACGUGCACGUGCUCUCUGACCACCGUGGGGCCCAGAUGAGACGCGUUGAGCCAGUCCAUGGAACUCCACUGCUUAGCUGGCAGAUAUGCUGUGACCCGGAAGUUGAGUUUUCUCCUUUAUUUUCCUGUUUACUUUGCAUAUGCGUAAAAAAAUGAGCCACACAAAAAUAUAGACGGUCAAAAGGCUUCCUAAUUUUUCUAAGGCAGAGGAGUUGAGGCAGAUUCUGCUAGAAAGCAGCACCCAUAUCCUAAUUCCUACAGCCUCUGUGAUUUCAGAUCAGCAAAGGCGGAAUCGAAACACACUGGGAAGUUAGAGGUCAGUUGAUUCUAGGAUCCAUUCCAGUCAAAAGAAUCUGUAGACUCACUGGAUUUGGGAAUGGGGUUUGGGGAAAGAGGGUUUUUUUAAAAAGAGGGAAGCUUUGUUCCUUAUUUCUUGACCUGUGUUGGGUGGGAGAACGAACCUGCUUUGAAUAGAAGUUGCAAAAAAGCCAAUCCUGGUGACCAUACAAGAAGAUUAAUGAGGACUCGGCACCAAAUUAAAUAUGCCCAGCCUUUAAGAAAACUGCGUUAAUAGUGCCACUGUGACGGCGUUAACGAUGGGAGCCAUGGGAAGAUGCUUGGGGAGGCUCAGGCGCUGAUGAGUUAAAAAGGCAGAGACAUCCAGUAAGUGAGAUCCCGCCCGGGCACGGGUUUGUUUAUCCUGCCCUUCUGAAGUCAGAGCCAACAUUCUUAAUGGUUUUGAAUGAUUCAGAAUGUUUCUCUUUUGGCAGGGCCACUUUCCACACAUGGGCUUAUGACUAAAACCCCUUAGGUGAGGUCCAAAGCAGAAACUGACCUUACACUUAAUGUCGAAUUUUAGAAUCGUCUUAUUUUAGAGCAACAGGAAAACUGUCAAUACAGCGUGCUUGUUUCAGAGAUGAAGAGCUGGACCAGGGGGUUUGGUCCGCCAGAGGUCACCCAACGGGAGGGCGAGGCCAGUCUGGGCCGGGCCGCCUUCCUCCAACCACACGGGCCCUGGUCCCAGCCUCGGGAGGAGGCUCCCGCCUGUCCUUGGCCUCCCAGCUGGGAGAGGCCAAUGCCCUUUGAGGAAUGUUCAGAAAAUUGCUUAGGUCGGAAAGGAGAACUUCAUUUUUACAAAAUGAAACAAAUCGGUUGUUUAUUUGUCACGGGCAGCUUUUUCAAAAUCUUCUUUGUCAGUAUUUUGAAUUUAUUAGCUCCCAGGCAGAAGGAAGCAUAAUAACAUUUCUAUCCAUACGCCAAAGUAAGAGACUUGAUAUACCCUUCGCUCGCUCACUCUUCUUUUUCUUUUUUUUGGAUGAAAAUUAACUGUGCCACGCUAGUUCUUAAUAAAACAAACUUUGAAUUCUUCCCACAGGAGACAGAAUUGAGCAAUGUUCUAAGAACAUGUUGUACUCUUUUGGGCACUGAGUAAAUGUAAUACUGAGAAGAUGCUCUAGAAGCUUGAAAGUGCCUCUUGGUAAUAGAGUCACCGGGAGAAGUGGCAGAAAGAACAGGGUAGAGAAGCUGGUCCUCGUGGAGGAGGGCUCAGCAGGAGCUGCUGGCUCAGCCUCUUCCUGCCUGGCUGAGGACCUGAGGGCAUCACGGAGCCCACAGGAAAGGACUCAUUUCCCCGUAAGCCAGGGCGUGAACCACUGACCCCUGCUGGGCGCACCCGACGCGGUCAGAACCCGGUCCUCCUCUGGACUCGGCGCUGAACUGCACGUCCACCAGCGCCAGAGACAGCAUCUCCAGGAAAGGACACGCACCACAGGUCGCUGCACCCACUGCGCUGGCCCUCUCCCAGCGGCUCCCAAACCCCGGGGACGACCGUGUGGCCUUCAUUUGUUUAAGGACGACAACCUGAAUUAAGAGAUGAAGCGAUUUAUCCCAGGAGGAAAAGCCAUUCGAAGAAAGGGGAUUUGCACCAGAUUCCUGCCGAGACCCGCCCCCCAAGCCCUCCCCCCCCCCCGUAGCAAAUUGUGCCCUCUUCCUUCCGGGUGGCACUUAAGCAACUGUCACUUAUCGCGUCCUUAUAUUAAUUACACAAUUAUUACAAACGUGUUCCCCCGAAAGAAUGUAAACUAAAUAUGUCAUGAGUAUCAAGUUAAGCAUCUCCAACAGGAUCUUUUCAUAGGAAGAACGGUUCCUUAGUCCUAGUAACAACAAGUGCUAUUUUUUUCCCUCUUCCCAGCCCGUGGAAACAAUGCCGAGGAAAAAUUAUCUUGUGUUUAGCUUCCAGCGUGAUAUUGGAGAUAAGUAACAGUGUCUUUUUUUCCCCCCAUCACCCAUGCUGUCUUCAUUUUUAAGGUAGACAGUUUAUUUUAAGAAGAGCAGGAAGGAGAAGCUUUUGGCUGUCUCCAGGUGCCACGUGGCCCUGAUGGCCUUUCCUGGGGUCAUCUUCCAGGCAAGUGGAGCCGUCCUCACCUGCUACACGGAAGCCAGCGCAGCGUUGGCUCUGCCUGAGCGAACCAGGGAAGUGUUGGGGGGAGGAGAGCGGGGGUGUGGAUUUGAAUCUCCCUUGGAUUAUUUUAAAUUCUUGUGUCGUUAUAUUUGUGUGUACUUGAAAAAUUAUAAUCUAGCAAAUGUUUCAGAUUUAAGCCGUGGGUAAAAUUUUCCUAACAGAAAAUGACACAGUCAGCUGGAAAAAUGGAAUAGAAAGCAGCACAUGCUGUUUCCUUCUUAGGGUUUUUCUAUUCGUGUUGGAGCAGAAAGCCCCUCGCCCGCCCUCACUGCCCCUUUCUUGGAGUGGGUGCCAUCUUGAUAGCCUUCCUGUGUGAGGUGAGGGGACUGGGGGAGCGGGUUUGAGAACCCCCGCCUCCCCUGCUGUCCGCUGUCAGUCAUGCUAACUUCCCUGAGCGCUGGCAGUCAUAUGAGAAUGUCUUAGCUGCGUGUGUGAAAGUCACGCCUGUGUUUCACCUCCAGUGUGAGUGCAAUUCAGUGUCCCGGGACAUGGUCAUCCCCUUUGGUCCUCUAAAGGAGUUGGGGUCUGCGAAUAGGACUCGUGCUGAGCUGGAGGGCAUUUUAUGGGCAUCAUUUCAUCUGUUCUCUCCGUCUCCAGCCAGAACUGCAUUCCAGACACAUGGGUACAUGUAUACCCUAUUCGAAUAUUCAGGCGUCCUGAGAAGGGGCUCCCAGCCUGUCUGGGAAACCCAGAAGGAGCUGACCACCCCCAUUUCUUCCUGCCCAUACCUCUGGAGAUGGAGACUAGGAGGCCCUUGGGAAAGCUUAUCCUGAGCCCAAAGCUUGGUGCCUCACCUAUGGGACCAUGGCCCCUGAAGUUUCCCCAUCCUAAUACCUAUCCCAUUGUCGUAAUAACUGCCAUUUAUUUGUCUGCACCCCCUGCCGGCUUGCAGACUCCAUGAGGACUGGUGCCCGUGUGGGUCCACGUUGCGUCUCCAGCACAGUGCUUCCCACAUGCUAGAUAUUCAACAUCUGUUUCUUCUGCGCUUCAUAAAUUUUGUUUUUUGUCGUCUCCUGCCAUCCCUGAUCUCAGUUAACCUUCCCAUUGUGUGUGUGUGUGUGUGUGCACGUGUGCAGGAAGAAAUGCCUUCAUGAGCUCACUCGCUCGCUCUUACCUUCUGCAUCCUGUGUUAUCGCACAGCCAUCGCAGUCUCACUUCCCAAAGGUCUUGUUUGCCGAAUGCGGUGGCUUUCCCCAUUCCCAUUGAGCUUCACCUCCUGCUACAGUUCACAUGAUGUUACCUCCCCUCCCUGACACCCUCCCCUUUUUCCACCUGCCCAGACCACCCCUGUGGAGCCCGGCUCAGGCCCCUUUCCUCUGCAGACACCCCCCCCCCCCGCCCCCUAGUCAGCCUGCCCCAAGCUCAUCGAAUCCUGAAUGACUGUUGUCCCUCUCUGUCAGCAUGGCACACUUAAGCCUUACUCGUCCCUAUAUACUCAACUUCAUUCCACAUUAGGUUCCAAGGUCACGUGCAAGUGUAUCCAUGUCAUCUGUUUAGGCACUUUUCCAGUUCAGCGCGGGGCUCUUAGGAGGCAAUCAGUGAACGCCUAGCGAUGGAUUCUAACAGAUCUGUCUUUACCCGUCGUGUUGAGAAGUGACUUGUGGUUCUGCAGCAUUGUUGUUGGUUAAUCCCUCCCUGACAGACGUGACCGUCCCUAUGUGCACCCCCCCAUGUGCCUACACUGGACUCUUCUAGGAGCCUCAUCUGCCUCAUGUCCUCUGAGCCUCAUACGGCACCUGGGACAUGGUAAACUCAGUGAAUCAGUGGUUCUGAGACCAGAUAGAUGGAAAUGCUGGAACAUCCUCAUCCCUGUUGCGGAUCGUAUCUGUCCUUUCACAGACUCGCGACUCCUUGUUUUGACGUCCCAUGACCUACCCUUUUUCCGUCAGAGAGCCUCAGACCCAGUCUCUGUGUACUGAUGCUCGAUGGUAUUUUAGUCUUUCACACCAAUUUUAACAUAUUGAUUGUAUAUACCUUCUGGAAAAUUUAUCCAAAAUGUUAAAUGUGCUGUCCCCUCACAGGGGAAUGUGGUGAUGGUUCUUUUUCAGGGGGGAGGUUAAUAUUUAUUGAAAAAUCUCUGGACCAUGGAUUUUACUUGAGUUAGUUAUAUUUUCACAAGUCUGAGAAUUAACAUUAUCAUUUCCACUUUACAGUUGAAAAAAAUAAAGCUCAAAAAGGGUUAAAUAGCUUGUCCCAGGCUAACAAGUGACAGAGGGAAAAUUUGAAACCAGGUCUUUCUGAUCCCAAAGCUUAUGCUGCUUGUCUCUCUGUUCCCCGCUUAAAUGUGCCAUUAAAUGGGAGUUCCCUUAAUGGCGCUCAACGUUGAAUAGGCAGUGUCUAAGCACGUUAACUCAGAUAAGCUGGUGCUCAUGUGGAAAGGCACAGACAAGGACAAGAUGUGUAUUGGUACUUUUGGUUCUAAGCAGAGAUUCAGAGAUCAGCUUCUAAGAGCCUCAAGCUUCAAGAGGAUGACGGUUGAGCACCUAGGAAGAUCCUUUGGGGGGCCCUCUGUGACACAGGGCUGCCCUGUUGAAGGUGUAAGUUGACCCUUGACUCCUCCUGAGAAAACACAGGAAUCCCGUUAGGGAAGCAUCCUCGUGGGCUGGGCUGCUCCACGCUCUCCCCUCUGGUGAUGGGUUUGGUACAAGCCUCAGCCCUGUGUUUAGAUUAGAGCCACCAAGAGCUACCGUGGGAGGCACAGAUGCCAGUGCUCAUAAGGGGAGGCACGGAUGUUAGUGGGAAGCUGAAAAUGCAGCUGUCAAACUCAUAUCCUCAUAGUUAAGAAACCUUAUCACUAACUCAUAUACGGUGUUCUUGACCGAACCUUUCUGUGCUCUGGUUUCCCCAUCUACCAAGAAUGCACAUGCACCUAGAUCUUAGGAGGCUGCAGGUGCAGUGGUCACAAGGUGCUCCUGAGUUCUUUAGAGGAGUGACAGAGAGGAUGGAAGAGGCACGCUACAGAAUUAGGCUUUAUCAUACGCUUUUACAGGAAAAAGUUAAUUGUAGGAAGACUUUGCAGCAGCUUAAAUGAACUCUUGCAAAUACUGCAGAACUCCCGGAACACAGCCGACGGGCGUUCCUUGCAGCUGACACCCAUCUCAGUCACCGUUGACAAGGGGAAGAGCUCCUCACUGACUCUGGGUCCUGUCGUCAUUUUUAUGAUCAGACAAUUUCGGAAACAUGCUAUUAUUUUAAAUUAGUAUUUAAAUAUUCCAAAGCCGUGUGAUUUAAUAGCUCCAUGUCAGUUUCAAUUUUAUGUUUACCCUGAUAGAUCCUCCUUCCUUUUCCUCUCAGCUUGAAUAUUUUAGAUUUAUCUUUCUGUCAUAAGACAGUGUUGAAUAUAACAAUGGCUUUUCUCAGCCAUUUCUCUUCCUGGUCAAGAUCUUCUUGAAUUUUAAUCCCAACUUUCAAGAAUCUUCCGAACAUAUUACGUCCGUGUUUUGAUAGCGUCUUGAAGUGUGUGAGCAUAGUCGCUAAAGAACAUGUCCUCCAACGCUCAGCUUAAAGAUCACACCUGUGAACCACAGUGCGUUGUCUUCCCCAGUCUGUCUGAUGCACGUGUCUAGACCAUAUCACCCCAUCCACUGGCCUCGGCCGUGUUUCUGUUCCUCCAUGGGGUUGUAAUUGUUCACUUGGAAAUUGCAAUAGAUAGUAAUCUGACAGGACAGACUUUUCUUCCUCACACUGCUGAGUCACGCCGCCCCUUGCUGGGUGAAAUGUGAGCUUUUGGGACUUGAGCCCCUUCUAAGGAAGCCUCCUUGGGGCUGUUAUGAAGGCACUCCCAGUGGCUGUGGCAGGUCACGUGCACGGAAGACUGAAGUACUCCUUGAACGAUGAGUUUUCAAAAACGAAGACCUCUACAACACGGGCCUCCUUUCCUAUAAUGUGGCAAAAGGUGCACUCCAGCUUUAAACUUAGACCACGCAGGAGAGAACAUCAUGGGGUUUCUGUUCUGUAUUUCCUCCGCUUGACCGCAGAGCAGUGAGAGAAGGUUGCACUUUCAGACAGUUGCUGCCCUCUGCUGGCCUCUGCAGUCUGUGCUGCUGCAGCCUGAGGUUGCGAAACCAAUUUUGAAAAUAGAAACCUCUCCCUGUCUUCUGUGCGGGCUGCUUUCAUGUCUUUCUUCCGUGACUGGAGCUAUAGGUCUAUACCAUGUUUUAUUUCAUAAGACCUCUUGCUGAGCAAACCUUGAUGAUCUGCGAAACGCACAGCCUCGUGUCGGUGGACGCACCAGUGAGGAGCGUGUCCACCGCUCACUGUGCAGGAACUUUCCCAACCUAUGCAGCAGGAAGGAGAAGGUGCUCCUUAUUUCUUGUUUUUAAAAAUUCAUCUCUUUAUGACAUUGGCGGAGGAACAAGAGAAAACAACUGACUUUUACUUCCUCUGUUGCUCUGGGAGAUUUCCUAAGGGCUCAUACUGUCGUUUAAAUUCCAGGUGCUGAUCUUCUGAGCAGUUGCCUCCUGAGGAUUUCUGUGCCUGGAAAAUAUCUGUCAACAGAUUGCUCUCACACUCCUGUGUAAGUAGAGGCUUGUGCUCGUAAAAUCAACCUCAAGCGAGUUUCGUUUUAUUUUGUUCCUGGAUGAUUCCCCAUAAAUUUUUUUAAAUGGUCAUCAGGGUUCGAUCUCUAUUCCUUUUCUCUUAAACCCUCAACUCCUAACUUAGCAUUGGGAAAAGUCUAUAACGUGAACUCCUGCUUAAAAGGAAGGGUACAGAUCCCGUAUUCAGGUCUUAGAAUGGGAAGAGGAGAAGAAGGUAAAAAAUAUUAAAGAUACUCAUUUCAGUUAAUUCAGUUGGAGAUGCCAUUUGUAGAUCUGAGGGCGUCUUCCGAUUUUAGUAUUUGUCGGAUUCCUCUGCAGUCAGCUGGGCUGACAUGUAUCCAUGUACGAUGAAAUGGACGGAAGCAGGAUCUGUGAGCUUUUUCCAUUUACAAGCUGUGGCAGAUCUCUUAGCCACCUCUCUGCUUAUAAUGUGCUAAGGGAAAAAUGAUUUAUUAUUUCUGUCAUCGUGGCUAUCAUUUAUUGAGUAUUUACAUUGUGCCAUUGCUAGUUCGAAUUGCUGUACCUGAUUUAUUUAAUUGUCACAGCAACCUUAGGUGUGGUGGGUACUAUCAUCAUCCUUAUUUUAAACAGCUGAGGAGACUGAGACACUGAGAGUUAACGUAAGUUACCCAGGGUUGUGCAGGGAGCGAAUUGCAGAGCUUGACAUUCUGCCUCCAGAAGUCUACAUGUGACCAUGUCGCCAUACUGCCUCUUAGAAACGGGGAACUUAGGAGGAUAAACUGCUGGGCUGUAUUUUAGAGACAUUAUUUUAGCACUGUCAUAAUCAUGUGAAUGAGUGUUGGGCUAGUCACUAUGCUCUUUUGACGUGAGCCUCCUUUAGAUUAGCGGGAAGCCAGGCUUUAGAGAUGUGGCUUGCUUAAGGGCACACUGCAAAUCACGUGUGUGGCUGAGCAUCCAGGUCUCCAACCGUUCAGUGCUAGCCAAAUCCUACUAAUUUCCAAGUUGUCGCCGUCCUCUUGGUGGGUUGUUGGGUGCUGCUUCUGCUGAUCAGAACCAAAGCUGGUUUUAAUGGUUUGCUCAUGUGCUUAUUGGUGAAACCCUGAAAUCGGAGCCAGUUUACAUUCAAAGUUCCAUCCGGCCACGUGGAGAAUAGCCAUUACAGUCUCUAUAAUGCGCUGAGCCAGCAGAGACUCACGGCUAAAAGCCUGGGCCUGGAUUCGGGCAAAUCCCGCUUUGCACCCUGGUCUUGCCCUCCACAAGCUUUGUGACCAAGGGCAAGUCAUGUCCCCGUUCUAAAUCUCUGUUCCCUCACCUGGGAAAUGGAGAUGACACCACCAACCUUGUCAGGUGAUUUUGAACGUUGAGAAAAUGCAUAUUAAAGCAUGCAGCAGUAUCUGGCGCAGAGUGUUCCAAAAAUGGAAGCUGUCCCUAUUUUUCAGAGUACCUUCCCGUCCACUUCUCAGUUCAUUUUGUACUUCACCCUGAAAAGGCGCUCCGGGGUGCUGAUCCAUCUAAUAAAAUAAAUGUUUGUGUAGUGCUUUAAAAAUUAUAGAAUGUUUCCAUAUACUGAAUUACGUAUAACCCUAACAACCACUGCAGUCUAGGAAUUUAUGUCUCCAUUCUCUAGAUCAGGAUAAUCAACCUCAGAAAAAUUAAAUGAUUGCCCAGGAUCACAUAGCUAGUAAAUAGCAUAGCCAGGACUUCAACUCAGAAGCGCGGCUCCGGGUCUUGCGCUCCUUGUUCAUCUGCUUCCUGCAGGAAAGCUUUCACUAAAGGCAUGUAAGUCGAGAGAGGACUUACAGCUAGGUGAUCCAGCUCCACAGCAGUAACAGUUGCAUCUCUAUUCUGGUCUACUUUCUCCAGUCAGGACUGUUGGAGCCUGAUGUCCGUAACAUUUUGAAACUACGUUCUUAAAGAAGUCUUGUAGUCAGAUACAGUCUCCUUGUGAAAUCCUGAAGCCCCAAGGGAAGUUAUCUUAAUCCAGUUUGCUCAUGCAAGAACAGACUGGCAUUUCACUUCAAUGAAAACAAUGUAUUUCCACUGUUCCGCUUUUGCCACACGAGAGUUACUGGUGUAGUUUAUGGAUUCACAUUUCAGGCUCCAACUUUCCUAUCAGAUUUGGAAGAAAAAAAUCCAAAGAAGGGCAACCUGCUCAAAAAGCAUCAUAUAAAGUACGACAGUGAAGACUGGAUUUUGAAAUGGAAACAUUCUCAUGGCUUGUGGGCUGAGAGACAAUUAGGAAGGAUGUUCCUGAAAGGUGAUGAUUUUAAUGCUGGGGAUGGAGAGUUUUGCAAUUUUAAGUGUGUUCUCUGUGUGAGAAAGAGUUGUUAAAAAAUAACAUUCCUUUCAAAUGAUGCAAUACCUAAAAAUUGUUGAUGAUUAAAAUAGAAAUACCCUGAGUUACAGAAAUUCAGCCCUACAGUAUCCUGGCCUAAAAAAUGCAGAACAGUCAGGUUGAUUGUUGGAGCUGGAGGAUAAGGAGGCAUGGAAACAUGGUAAUGUUCACUGAGUAAAAUCUUUCCUCGCGGUUGAAUGUCACGGAAAGACUCAGCAGAGCCAGCAGAUAGCAGCUGCUGCCAUCCUGUUUCCUUGUGCAUGUCCUGGAAGGAGAAUGAAUGAGCCCCUAUUAAUUUACCAACUGGUUUUUUUUUUCGUUUCCCUGCUAGCGAACAAUGAGAUUUUUUUCCCCUAUGUUAAUUUGGUAGCCAGUCUCUGCAUGCAGAUCUAUUUUCAGGAAACUGGCCUCUUGCUUUAGAAGAUUACGUGAAAACAGAAGCCCAAGCUCAACUAAGUAACUCGCUUUCCCCCCAAGGGGCUUAAAAUCCGAAGGGAAGUUUUGACUGAUCUCUGUGUUUAUUAUGCUUUAUCUGCUGAAAAUGGCCUGUCAAACUGGGCUCACCUGAAGAGACAUAGAUGCAAAAGGAUAUAUCCAUCUUUGUUCUUCUGCUGAAUUCUGUAGAAAGCGUACUCAAACGAUAAUACAGAAAACUUACCAUAUCUAUUUGUUUCUGCUAAGGGAGCAAAACAGUGUGGUUGUGUCUAUAGUAUGGAUACAUGUGUGUGUGGAUGUACCUAUAGGGGUGUGACAUAUAUUUGAUGUAUGAGAUAUGUAUGCUCUUAUCAGACAUAAGUAAAAGGAAGAAAUCUGUUUUUUAGGAAAAUUUUCCCCAUAACCGAAGUGUCAAAAUCAUUUGGAAAAAACUUCUAAGUGGCAGUAGGCAAAAGGUAUGACUAGUCAUUAGUAAAAAAUAAACGGACCUUUUUGUUCUGGAUUUGGGAUUUUUUAACUGAUGAGAAUAAUCUGGCUGCAUCUGACAAGUUCAGUUACUGAUAUUACGAAUUAGAAUAGCAUAUACAGAAGGAUGCCGUGGACCCUAAAUCAAUCACAAAGUUAGUGAAAUCGCUAUUUGAGAGUUCCAGUGAUUCUUCUAUCUUGGCAGUCUUUCAAGUUAAAAUGCUUGAAUUGACUAUCCAGUUGAAAUAUUUAAUUGCCAGUUGCUUCACAAAGUAUGUGCCUUUCUUUGCAGUCUAUGAGCUGUUGCAUCUUGGAUGAAGUGCUUGUGACACAUCUCUCUAGACCAUAGUGUUCUGUUCCCUUUUUUCAGAGAUGAAAAAACUAGUCUGGUAGUAGUAGGCGUGUGCAGUGGAUGCUUCUCCAUUAUGAAUGAUGAGUUUGUGUUGGGAUCUCCUAUGAAGAGAUAAGCGGUCAAGGCUAUAAGGAGUAAGAACGUUCAAGUGAAACACCCUGCCCCUCCUGGCUUGUUAGCAUCCUGCUGAGCCCAUUUGAAAUCAUCAGCCACAGGCACUUUGUAAUUAGAGGUUCUUCCCGUAAGCAUUAUAAAUGAGGAAAGUCAAAAGAGAAACUAAAGUUCAGUUAAUUGAUUUCAGCCAAGAGAACAGACUAAGUGAAUGGUACAGCCAGGAUUAGAACCUACUUUUCACCAGGUGACGCUAUCAUGAUAAAACCCAAAAAAGAUGGGAGAGUGUUUUAAGUUAAAAAAGACUAAAGAAUCUUAGUGAGUGAACCUGGAUGGAAUCUGGGUUUGAAAACAAACAAAAAUUAUAAAAGACUUUUUUGGAGAAAGUAGGAAAAGUUAAAUACGGACUGGAUAUUAGAUGAUACUAAGGGAAUUGCUCAUUUUCUUAGGAAUGAUAAAGAUAUUAUAACUGUAUGAAGAAUGGCCUCAUUUUUUGGGGGGUCACCUCAAUUUUUUAGACAUGCUCAAGAAGUUAGGAGCAGAGUGUUGGAAUGGUUGUCAAUUUACUUUCAAAUAAUUCAGCAAAAAAUACAUAUAUCUUACAUAGAGAUAACAUAGCUAAAGCAAAAAAUGGCAAAAUGAAUAAUUGUUGAAUGUAGGCGGU
rnacentral:lncRNA from 1 species